rnacentral:rRNA from 1 species
GUGUCAGCAGCCGCGGUAAGACGAACCGUGCGAACGUUGUUCGGAUUCACUGGGCUUAAAGGGCGCGUAGGCGGGCAAGCAAGUCCGGGGUGAAAGCCUCCGGCUCAACCGGAGAAGUGCCUUGGAUACUGCUUGUCUAGAGGGAGGUAGGGGUUACUGGAACUUCCGGUGGAGCGGUGAAAUGCGUUGAUAUCGGAAGGAACGCCGGUGGCGAAAGCGAGUAACUGGAUCUCUUCUGACGCUGAGGCGCGAAAGCUAGGGGAGCAAACGGGAUUAGAAACCCUCGUAGUCC